UCCUACGGGACGCAGCAGUGAGGAAUAUUGGUCAAUGGGCGGGAGCCUGAACCAGCCAAGCCGCGUGAGGGAAGAAGGUACAGCGUAUCGUAAACCUCUUUUGUCAGGGAACAAAGGCGGGGACUAGUCCCCGGAUGAGGGUACCUGAAGAAAAAGCAUCGGCUAACUCCGUGCCAGCAGCCGCGGUAAUACGGAGGAUGCGAGCGUUAUCCGGAUUUAUUGGGUUUAAAGGGUGCGUAGGCGGACGCUUAAGUCAGCGGUAAAAUUGCGGGGCUCAACCUCGUCGAGCCGUUGAAACUGGGUGC
rnacentral:rRNA from 1 species